GGGGCUGAUUCUGGAUUCGACGGGAUUUGCGAAACCCAAGGUGCAUGCCGAGGGGCGGUUGGCCUCGUAAAAAGCCGCAAAAAAUAGUCGCAAACGACGAAAACUACGCUUUAGCAGCUUAAUAACCUGCUUAGAGCCCUCUCUCCCUAGCCUCCGCUCUUAGGACGGGGAUCAAGAGAGGUCAAACCCAAAAGAGAUCGCGUGGAAGCCAUGCCUGGGGUUGAAGCGUUAAAACUUAAUCAGGCUAGUUUGUUAGUGGCGUGUCCGUCCGCAGCUGGCAAGCGAAUGUAAAGACUGACUAAGCAUGUAGUACCGAGGAUGUAGGAAUUUCGGACGCGGGUUCAACUCCCGCCAGCUCCACCA
rnacentral:tmRNA from 1 species